rnacentral:rRNA from 1 species
CCUACGGGUGGCAGCAGUGGGGAAUAUUGGGCAAUGGACGCAAGUCUGACCCAGCAACGCCGCGUGAAGGAAGAAGGCUUUCGGGUUGUAAACUUCUUUUAAGGGGGAAGAGAAGAAGACGGUACCCAUUGAAUAAGCCAAGGCUAACUACGUGCCAGCAGCCGCGGGAAUACGUAGGUGGCAAGCGUUGUCCGGAUGUACUGGGGGUAAAGGGCGUGCAGCGUGAGAGACAAGUCAGAUGUAAAGUCCGCAGGCUCAAUCUGCGAACUGCAUUUGAAACUGUUUCUCUUGAGUAUCGGAGAGGUCAGCGGAAUUCCUAGUGUAGCGGUGAAAUGCGUAGAUAUUAGGAAGAACACCAGUGGCGAAGGCGGAUGACUGGACGACAACUGACGGUGAGGCGCGAAAGCGUGGGGAGCAAACAGGAUUAGAUACCCGAGUAGUC